rnacentral:rRNA from 1 species
GACGAACGCUGGUGGCGUGCUUAACACAUGCAAGUCGAACGGAAAGGCCUGCUUUCCCUUGUGGAUUGCGGGUACUCGAGUGGCGAACGGGUGAGUAACACGUGAGUGAUCUGCCCCCAACUUGGGUAUAAGCCUGGGAAACUGGGUCUAAUUCCCGAUAGGACUGCAGGGUGGUGCCUGUGGUGGAAAACGAUUUUCUAGUGGUUGGGGAUGAGCUCGCGGCCUAUCAGCUUGUUGGUGGGGUAAUGGCCUACCAAGGCGGCGACGGGUAGCCGGCCUGAGAGGGUGGACGGCCACAUUGGGACUGGGAUACGGCCCAGACUCCUACGGGAGGCAGCAGUGGGGAAUAUUGCACAAUGGGCGGAAGCCUGAUGCAGCGACGCCGCGUGGGGGAUGACGGCCUUCGGGUUGUAAACUCCUUUCGACCGCGAGGAAGCCACCUGGUUGGAAGGGUGGUGACGGUAGUGGUAGAAGAAGCACCGGCUAACUACGUG